GAUGAACGCUGGCUACAGGCUUAACACAUGCAAGUCGAGGGGAAACGACGGGGAAGCUUGCUUCCCCGGGCGUCGACCGGCGCACGGGUGAGUAACGCGUAUCCAACCUGCCUCUGACUGAGGGAUAACCCGUCGAAAGUCGGCCUAAUACCUCAUGGCAUCGUCUGCGGGCAUCCAACGACGAUUAAAGGUUUCAUCGGUCAGGGAUGGGGAUGCGUCUGAUUAGCUUGUUGGCGGGGUAACGGCCCACCAAGGCUACGAUCAGUAGGGGUUCUGAGAGGAAGGUCCCCCACAUUGGAACUGAGACACGGUCCAAACUCCUACGGGAGGCAGCAGUGAGGAAUAUUGGUCAAUGGGCGGGAGCCUGAACCAGCCAAGUAGCGUGCAGGAUGACGGCCCUAUGGGUUGUAAACUGCUUUUAUGCGGGGAUAAAGUGAGGGACGUGUCCUUCAUUGCAGGUACCGCAUGAAUAAGGACCGGCUAAUUCCGUG
rnacentral:rRNA from 1 species